GCUGGCGGCAGGCCUAACACAUGCAAGUCGAGCGGUAGAGAGAAGCUUGCUUCUCUUGAGAGCGGCGGACGGGUGAGUAAAGCCUAGGAAUCUGCCUGGUAGUGGGGGAUAACGUUCGGAAACGGACGCUAAUACCGCAUACGUCCUACGGGAGAAAGCAGGGGACCUUCGGGCCUUGCGCUAUCAGAUGAGCCUAGGUCGGAUUAGCUAGUUGGUGAGGUAAUGGCUCACCAAGGCGACGAUCCGUAACUGGUCUGAGAGGAUGAUCAGUCACACUGGAACUGAGACACGGUCCAGACUCCUACGGGAGGCAGCAGUGGGGAAUAUUGGACAAUGGGCGAAAGCCUGAUCCAGCCAUGCCGCGUGUGUGAAGAAGGUCUUCGGAUUGUAAAGCACUUUAAGUUGGGAGGAAGGGCAUUAACCUAAUACGUUAGUGUUUUGACGUUACCGACAGAAUAAGCACCGGCUAACUCUGUGCCAGCAGCCGCGGUAAUACAGAGGGUGCAAGCGUUAAUCGGAAUUACUGGGCGUAAAGCGCGCGUAGGUGGUUUGUUAAGUUGGAUGUGAAAUCCCCGGGCUCAACCUGGGAACUGCAUUCAAAACUGACUGACUAGAGUAUGGUAGAGGGUGGUGGAAUUUCCUGUGUAGCGGUGAAAUGCGUAGAUAUAGGAAGGAACACCAGUGGCGAAAGGCGACCACCUGGACUAAUACUGACACUGAGGUGCGAAAGCGUGGGGAGCAAACAGGAUUAGAUACCCUGGUAGUCCACGCCGUAACGAUGUCAACUAGCCGUUGGGAGCC
rnacentral:rRNA from 1 species